AAGUCGUAACAAGGUUUCCGUAGGUGAACCUGCGGAAGGAUCAUUAACGAGUUUUGAAAGCGGGAGCUUGUUGCUGGUGCGUGGAAACGCACAUGUGUCACGGCUUUUCGUGCUCAACCCACUCAACCCCUGUGCACCUUUGCGAAGUUAGUAGCUUUUUCCGUUUCAUUUGGUUUGUAUGGGGGCUUGCGUUAGCGCGAGCUCACUUGACCGGAGAGGAAGAGGCGAACGCUUUGACUUUUAUCACAAACCCAUUGUAAUGUCUUGUUGAAUGUAAUGCUCCUUGUGGGCGAAAUGAAAUACAACUUUCAACAACGGAUCUCUUGGCUCUC
rnacentral:misc_RNA from 1 species